rnacentral:tRNA from 1 species
GUGGGUAUAGCUCAGUGGUAGAGUGUAAACUUAGCAUGCAUGAGGUCCUGGGUUCAAUCCCCAGUAUCUCCA